rnacentral:rRNA from 1 species
GACAGAGGGUGCAAACGUUUGUUCGGAAUUACUGGGCGUAAAGCGCGUGUAGGCGGCCAACUAAAGUCGGGCGUGAAAUCCCACGGCUCAACCGUGGAAGUGCACUCGAAACUGGAAUGGCUAGAGUCCUGGAGAGGAAGGUGGAAUGCUUGGUGUAGAGGUGAAAUUCGUAGAUAUCAAGCGGAACACCGGUGGCGAAGGCGGCCUUCUGGACAGUGACUGACGCUGAGACGGCGAAAAGCGUGGGGAGCAAACAGGG